GUGAUGAGAAAAGGCAGCAUAAAAUCUGUUCAUCAAUUAGCCUUCACAGUAGAGAUUGGAGAGUAACCAAAGCUCACAGAUCUAAGAACAUUGAAUUCCAACUGAAAUCUGAGUGACUAGCUGGAGUAUGGAUUGAGGAUUAGUGACAUCCAGAGUUGAUAAUGGCAAACUGAUGGAAUGAUACUUCAAAUCAAUCUAACAAAGAAAAAGUGUCUUCAUGAUACUUCAAGGCAACCAGUCCC